rnacentral:siRNA from 1 species
ACCCUUGCAACCGUCAUCAUCAUC